GACGAACGCUGGCGGCGUGCUUAACACAUGCAAGUCGAACGGUAAGGCCCUUCGGGGUACACGAGUGGCGAACGGGUGAGUAACACGUGGGUGAUCUGCCCUGCACUUCGGGAUAAGCCUGGGAAACUGGGUCUAAUACCGGAUAGGACCACUGCCUACAUGGGUGGUGGUGGAAAGCUUUUGCGGUGUGGGAUGGGCCCGCGGCAUAUCAGCUUGUUGGUGGGGUGAUGGCCUACCAAGGCGACGACGGGUAGCCGGCCUGAGAGGGUGACCGGCCACACUGGGACUGAGAUACGGCCCAGACUCCUACGGGAGGCAGCAGUGGGGAAUAUUGCACAAUGGGCGCAAGCCUGAUGCAGCGACGCCGCGUGAGGGAUGACGGCCUUCGGGUUGUAAACCUCUUUCAGCACCGACGAAGCGCAAGUGACGGUAGGUGCAGAAGAAGGACCGGCCAACUACGUGCCAGCCGCCGCGGUAA
rnacentral:rRNA from 1 species